AUGCGGAGGGCCCAAGCGUUAUCCGGAAUCAUUGGGUUUAAAGGGUCCGCAGGCGGUCAAUUAAGUCAGAGGUGAAAGCCCAUCGCUCAACGAUGGAACUGCCUUUGAUACUGGUUGACUUGAGUUAUACGGAAGUAGAUAGAAUAAGUAGUGUAGCGGUGAAAUGCAUAGAUAUUACUUAGAAUACCGAUUGCGAAGGCAGUCUACUACGUAUAUACUGACGCUGAGGGACGAAAGCGUGGGGAGCGAACAGGAUUAGAUACCCUAGUAGUCC
rnacentral:rRNA from 1 species